UGGCGGGUGGCGCAAUGGUAGCGCGAGGGACUUUGGAUCCCUAGGCUGCAGGUUCGAGUCCUGCCCCGCCAGCCA
rnacentral:tRNA from 1 species